GAAAACGACUUUAUUAAGCUUGGCCUUACAGAUAUCAAAACACGCGGACCAGAUAAAUGCUUGUAACAUUUGCUUGCCAUGGUGUAAAAAGUUUUAAGAAAUUUAAUAUUCAAUUUUGAUUAUGUAUUCUUAGCCUUUCUUUGUAUACACAAAGUUCAUUUACUCUUUAGAAACUGCCUGUUGAAAAUAGUUUGUAAUUUAUAUCUAAGUAAUAUGUACAUUAAGCCUAGAAACCAGCAUGGAUGAAUAAUUUUGAUAUUUUUGUUUUUAGAAUUUUUUAUGUUUCACAUUUUGCAUUAUAUUUUGAUCAUCCCUGUGCCAUUAACAUGAAUGAAGGUGUAACGUGAAUUAGUGCUCACGGUUUAUUGAUAUCUGCUGAUUUUGAUUUGCAUUAAAUUUCAUAUAUUUACUAGCCUGACCCUGAGCUGAAUCUUUGCUGAUAGUAAAUUUUCAGCCUAAACCUCAUUCAUGAAGCAUAAAAAUUUCUAUUUUAUUUGAUAAAGUUAAUUAACCUUUUUGAUUCAAUAUAGCAAUAAGUAUGCUAUUCGGCAUUGUGUUAAA
rnacentral:lncRNA from 1 species